AAUGAGUUUUGGGAAGGAGGAAGACUUAGCUAGCCUGUAGUAGGCAUAAUAAUAAAUAUCUUUGCAGCUGUCAUUGUUUGCCGGCAUCAGUAGAAGGAAAAGUCUGAAAACAGUAUGAAAGCUAAGUUCCUUUCCCACUAGCAGGAAUGGAUCCUGGAGGGAACUGACCAGACAAUCUGCAGAAAUUUUGCUCAGCUAUUGCCUGUAUUGUUCCUGCUCCCUAGAUAAACCAGAAUUCUAGCCUGUGGGGUUUCUGGCCUGCCCUCUGAAUUCCAAAGAAAAACAAGGCAAAUCAAUGCUAAAAUGUUACUAUGCUGAGUGUAUCUUCCAAUCCGCUGUCAGAUAGAAUUUAGCAGAGGAGAAAGGAUGAAUUAAUACCAUAUUUUUUUGGUUGACAGAGUCAAAAACCUAGAAUGGCAGGAGAACAGAAACCAUCCUGCAAUCUUCUUGAGCAGUUUAUUUUAUUAGCCAAAGGCACAAGUGGCUCAGCUUUGACUGCUCUUAUAAACCAAGUGCUGGAAGCUCCUGGGGUUUAUGUCUUCGGAGAGCUGCUGGAGUUAACAAACGUGCGAGAGCUUGCCGAAGGGCCUAAUGCUGCUUAUUUCCAGUUGCUGAAUCUGUUUGCAUAUGGAACAUACCCAGACUAUGUAGCAAACAAAGAUAACCUGCCUGAAUUAACAGUGACUCAGAAAAACAAGUUGAAACACUUGACGAUUGUAAGCCUGGCUUCCAGAAUGAAGUGUAUUCCCUACUCUGUGUUACUGAAGGACCUGGACAUGAGGAAUCUGAGGGAGCUGGAAGAUCUCAUUAUUGAAGCGGUUUAUACAGAUAUUAUCCAGGGGAAGCUGGAUCAACGCAAUCAGGUGCUAGAGGUCGAUUUUUGUAUCGGCAGAGACAUUCAGAAGAAGGACAUCAGUAACAUUGUCAAAACACUUCAGGAAUGGUGCGAUGGUUGUGAAGCGGUUCUUUUAGGAAUUGAGCAGCAAGUACUUAGAGCCAACCAAUACAAAGAGAACCAUCACCGAACUCAGCAGCAGGUAGAGAUGGAGGUCACAAACAUAAAGAAAACAUUAAAAGCCACAGCCUCGUCGUCGGCACAGGAGAUGGAACAGCAGCUGGUAGAGCGGGAAUGCCCUCCGCAUGCAGAACAAAGGCAGCCCACAAAGAAGAUGUCCAAAGUCAAAGGGCUGGUCUCCAGCCGUCACUAGAACAUGCCAUCUAAAUGUCAUUCAGCUAGGAAUGACAGCAGGAGGAGCAAAAAAAGGGCCCGUGUCUCCUUUUUCAGUGGGUUCUGGGCCAGUCCCUUUCAGGCUGGCAAAUAAAAGCCCUAUUUGAAUACAGCUCCCAGUUAGUAGCACCUGGCUAAGUUACACUGUGCAGGCCCUAUUCGUUUCCAGGGUGUCCCUGUUUUCCUGGCCCUUUAAAGAGGGACUUCUAAAAAGAAGGACUAACCAAAGGGGCAGAAAAAGAGAAAUCUGUGGACAGUUUUGCUCCUUCCCAGCCAGUCUCACUGUUGCUCAACCUUGAGGAAGCUGCUGUACUAAAUCAGAUCUCGGGAGAACUUUUACAGCAAGUGUCUGAAUUCCAGGGUUGAAGUGUGGCUACCAAAGCCAGGCUGGGAGCGAGGAAGCCAUCAACACAGAUCUUCCCAUUCCCAAAGGGAGCGCAGAAAGGUUUCUAGGCCAGGAACUGCUUUACGUGGAAGUCUUCAGCCUUUCCGCUACCCCUGUCUAUUUUAAACUGGGGUGAAAUUCACACUACCUCGCUCUGUGAAGAUGAGAUCCAGUGCUGGGCUGUUUACUUAACUGUCUGUUUACUGCCCUUAUGAAGCCCUUUAAUCUCUCACAGAUUUAAAGCACUGUUCUGCAUCUCUGAGGCACCAUAAGGAAGAAGCAGGCUGCUCUCUCGGGCCUUCCUUCUUACAGGUAGUUAGGGGCAUACUAGCAAUUGUGUUCCUUCUGAGUGUGAUGUGAUCUCCCAGAGCUGCUUGUGAGUUGUUCCCCCAUCCUUUAAAGGGUAAUGCCUUCACUUUUCCUUGGAUGCUAGUGACAGUGGUCUGCAUAGGAGAAGAGCCCGUUUAGUGCUGUGACAGGCUGGUGGCCCAGGACCCGCUGGCAGGGGUCGCAGCAGCAUCCCCUUGCUGAAGCAAUGGACUUGGCUAGUAUUUCUGAAUUUUGAACACUUUCAGGUUGUAUUUCCCUCCCUUUUUUUGUACAUUGUUGUGAUUCUAAAGCAUUUCAGCCUUUGUUUUGUGUUUUUUAUUUGUUACAGACUAACUUCAGGUGAUUUGCACCUAGUUUGGCAAGGUGUGGGUUUUUUUUAAGGGGGGAGGAUGGGGUUGACGUUGAAACAGCAAAUGACUAAAAAGCACAUUUUGGAAAAAAUUAAAAAUGCUGAUUUCAUGUCAGAGCCUGGAGUCUUGGCUUUGAGGUUGCUUUAGGCUUGUAGUGCAACAGCACUUGUUUGCAUAAGUGUUCAUUUGUUUUUUUGAUGUUACGUUAUCAGAAGGUCUGACUGCGUCUCCCUGACAUGUCUGGGAGGUAGUGAAGUACUGUUCCCAUUUUGUCAGUAGCUCAUCUUUGUCCAAGUUCAUGCAGAAGGAUCUGUGGCAAAGCCAAUAGGUGAGCCCAGUCUCCUGAGCAUAAACACCCGUGCUGCCUAAUUGUGGGAGAUUUGAAAUUCUGCUCUGUCUUAGGCCAAGUUGAUUCUUUACUUUGGGUCUAGCAGAGUACUGUUUUGCAGUUUGGCCCCUCUGUUUAACUUUACUCCAUGUUGUAAAGAGAAGGGCUUUCCGUGAGCUGGAAAGGGAGCUGUUCAAGCAGAGGACUGUGACUGAGCUUCAGUUGUGCAGCCAACUGUCACCUGCAUGUAUCUGGUGCAGUGCACGUGCCUUCCUCUUACUGCUACCAGGCUUCUUUGCCAACUGUGUGUUUUCAGUCCUCAGCCACAGGACUUGUACACUUGUGAGAAUAAAUUAAUCUUCUCUUCUUCUCCUGCGGUGCAGGCACACCAGCUUUGAAUCCUAAAAGAGAUCUAAAUACCUCCCAGCCAGCUGCCUCUGGGUCAAGUCUCUUGAUUUCUGAUUCUUUGCCAGCUCGUUCUCUCCCCUGAAAAUGCUAGCCAAAAAAGUUCUAAUGAAGGCUGUCAAGUGAAUAAGCCCAAAACAUGAACCCUUCUCUUUAAUCUCAAGGCAUCUCUUCCCAAGCAGUGAUUGUGUUAGUUUCUAUACUAGCUUCUCCCAGCGCUUAGCUGACAGCUUCUUAGGAGGUAUAAGUGGACUUUAUGUACUCAAGUCUAAUGGAUCUGUGUGAUGAAGAUGGACUGAGUCCAUUUCUGGCUUCUUGUGUAGUUUGCUGUGGUGUACCGGUCAUCCAGUUCCUCACAAGAUUUGACUAAUGAGGAAAAGUUCUGUGGUCAUCGCUAAAUUUUUUUUCUUGCCAUCCCUUUUCUAAUGUCGGUCCUGCAAAGAGGCAGAAGGAACGCAGAUGCCUGUGGAAAAAGGCUUACCUCCUCAGCAAGCCACAGCCUACUGGGGAAAUUGAUGUGAAUUUGGCAUCCUUGAUGUUUGUUCCCUGCCUGCUACAGGAGCCACGUUAGUUUGCUGAAGCUUCUUUAGUAUAUUGGGAGUUCUUGAGUUUGUUCUUAUGUUUGUUGUUGUUCUCAAAGCCUCACUGUGGGAGGAGGUCUUAUUUGCACCUCAGUAGGCAUUGCCUUUGAUCAGCAAAGAAAGGAGGGAGGAAAUAGCACUUUGAAUAAAGAUCUAUCCCAUGCUUGAUGGUGCAAGAGAUGGGAAAGGACAGAGAAGGGAUGGGGUGCUGGAGAGACUUGAGUUGUUCUCCUGUGUGGCUUUCCUGGUGUGUUGGCUGUGUGCCCAGUGUCGCAAAAGGAAGGGGGCGUCUUUGCAAUGAGCCUGGUCUGAGAUGAGUCACUAACAAAUGACAUGCAGAGAGUACCUGGGGGAGGCAAGCAGUUCUGCAGCAGCUGGUUAAUGAAUUUGGCUUGAAGGAAAGAGUUAGAUGCUAUUCCAGGAAUGGAGCGUAGUUGUUAAUGGGGAAGAAUGCAGGAGGUGCAAUGCUGUAUGAGAAGGACAGCAGAUAAAAACUUUGUUGAUUUCAUGUGACUGCAGGGAGGGCAGCAACUGGGAACAGAGUUAUGUGAAUUAGGGGCUGGUGGGAGUUGAAUUGUAGACAGUUUGGAAGGGAGCGUCCAGAGAGCUUAAUCCUGUUACGAGGAUGAGAGAGAGAUGGAAGCAGAAGUGGAUUUGAUGCAAACUCCAAUGUAUUGCAUGUGCCUGUUAGAGGCAGCUAACAUUGCUUGUCUGAGCACUGCUGGACGUUGCUCCCUGAGGUGGGGAGAGCAUCCUGCCCUACUUUGUUUUUAUGGCAGCAAUGGGCUGCUGCAGCUGCAGCUCACUUCAACAUUGCAGCAGGACAGAGUUCAAGCUAUUGAACUUCUGUUUGCUUCUUCCACCCGGAGAGAGAAAAAGUAGAUGGAGCUGCCUUCCUUCUGCUCUUCAAGGUUUUAUUAUCUAGCUUCAUAUUCUGUAGCUCCACUUGUACUAGUACUUGUUUAAUAUGGAGCUGAGCACUGAGCUGGAAAAUGAAAGAGGAUCUCAGCCGAUUGCAGCGCUGGUAGACUGCCCUAGCCCUAAAGCUGUGCCUCAUGCUAACAAACGUCCCCGGCGUUCUGCUGUGGCUCAGUUGAUAGCAGCUAAUAUCAGGCAAUUCUGGAACAUGGUAAAGCAAUGUUGAUGACAAUCUUUUUACAGAAAGAAAUUCUGACUUAAAACCUAUUUUUCCCCCCCCUCGCCCUUAGAUAAGUUCAGUGGUAGCUCAGUGUUCUGUUGAGAGCAGGAAGGGUCUCCUGACAGACCCUUCUGUGUUCAGAUUGGAGGCCAAUCCUGCAACUAGCCCUGUGCAGACUUGUGAAAAAUCCAUGGAUGCCCGUGGACCUUCAUGCAGGCCUGGAGGUUUACCCUGCUAGGGCCACAGUUAGCUUGAAGCCCAGUUUUCAGACUGACAGCCAAGUGGCACACAGCCUACUGCUGCUUGAGAGGUCUCUCUCUAUAGGUCAAAUAGAGGAAUAGGAACUGCAGGGCUGCUUUCCAGAGUGAAGAUGAGGAGAGUGAAGCUUUCCCUCUCAUGGAAGAGUGGUAGUAAGAGCUGGCUGUUCUCCCACCAGCCCUGUGAAGUGAAUUUUAUUGACUAAUGUUCAGUUUCUGAAAGAAUGGAAAAUGAUACAGAACUUUUUUCUUUAACAUUCUGUUUAUCCUAUGCAUUGAUACAUGCACUCCAAAAAAGGAUGUUGAGUUUAUUCAUUGCAGGGAAUGCAGAAGUGAGAGGACGGUUGACUUGGAUAGUUCUGUUAGAAUGUGACAAAUCGCAUAGGUAGAUCAGACUUCUCCUAAAAGUCCAGUUCUGUACAGAUUUAUAUGAAUGCUGUCUAAGCUGUUUAGAGAGGCCCCACAUGUUAAAAACCAGACAAAGCCCACUUCGUCCUGGGGUAAAACAGUCAAAGUAUAUGUAUUUGUAGGCUUGUUGGUGCUGCUGGUUUUCAUUUUAUGUGAGCCUUUUGCAAACGUUGCAAUGAGAGAAGCAACAUUGUUCUUUAUUAUUCUGAAGAUGGGGAAGCAGAUUAAAUAACUUGCCCUACAAUUAUACAGACGCAGCUAGUCGGACCUCUUGAGACCUAUUCCUGUAUAAUGUUUUAGGUUGUUUUUCCCCCACUAAGUCAUCUACAGCAUCUGACCUAAUCCAAGGAAACCAAAUAAUGGAACUGUCUAGCUUAUUUUUGCACAGUCUGAGAGAUAGUAACCCACGGGCAUCAGGAAGGGUUAAUUAGACUGUAAAGUCGUCCUAGUUCCUAUUUGUAACCUCAGUCUUGUAUUUGUAUUGUGGAUUUUUAGCCUAACAGUCUGAAUUUAUUUAUCGGCGCUUUUUUUUUUUUUUUUUAAAGAAGUAUGUCAUUGUUUCACUUUGCUCUGUGGCAAAGGUUGAUGUCUCUGGGGGACUGUUGACAUUUUGCUGAUAUUUCAUCAGUCAUGGCCCUAUCACAGAGGAAAGUGGUUGAAGCUAGAGAGAUGUACUGUUAAGAGAGCAGGUAUUUACCCCCUAGUCUGGUUGGCUGCACCCUGCUUCUUAGAGGCACAGUGGUGGUACCCCAUCUCUGAUCAGUGAACAGGCAAAGGAUUAAGCAGAGCACCUCUUCUCUCCCUGUCGCCAAAUGGGCAGGCACACGUGCUUCAUUUCCCACAGCAUACAGAUCUUGUGAGAUGACCUGAUGUAUUUACUACAGGCUGCAAUUGCAUGAGUGUGAUAGCUAUGACCAUGGCUUUUCCUUGGGAAGAAAAAGGGAAGAUGUUCCUGCACUACUGAGUGAACAUGCACACUGGAAAUUCUAGAUAGUAAUGGGAUGCCACAAGGUGUUUCUCCACAGAGCUCAAAAGAAUUUGUGCCAGUAGUCCUUGCUUGAUUUAGUUUAAUAGAAGGUAGGAGACCCUUCCACAGCUCUAGGUCUCCUGUAGAAGGUUGUGAAUCUUGGUAUCACUAGGGCAUUUUUCAGAUGCCCAUGCACAGAUGAUAUCUCUGUGUUUGAAGAAGAGCUGAUUGUGGUGGGUAAGGGAAACUUUGCUCUGUUAGAGAUCUGCCUUUUUGUGAGUUUCCUGAGUUUCUCUGAAAGCGGGGCCAUACCCUCAUAGGUAUGAAGUUUGGAAGCUGUGCUGUCUGGCCUUCCAGACUCUCCUUGAAGAAGCUGUUUAUCUCACUAGCCCUGAUGUUUCAAUCCCUGUCUCACGAUCAGCACAGUGCUAAGGCUGCCUUGCUCUGAUGCGGUAAGUAACAUCUUGGUGUUUCAUUGUCACCUUCACAGCUGUUAGAGAGCACCAGUUCCUACAGGAUCACCUGCCAGCUGUGAUGCUAUUCCUUUUACAUCAUUGUGGGAUGACACCUCUCCAAACUGGCAGACAAGCCAGGUGGGUAGGCACUGCUCCUCAGAGCUGUUCUGCAUCUAGGGGCAAAGGCUAUUACCUGGUUUAGCAUAAUGGAAAUCAAGGACAAGGACACCAGAAGGUGCUAUAAAUAAGGAGUGAAGCACAGAGCUGUGUCCUAGUCCAGCUCUGCUACAGAUGCAGAGGGUAACCUUGGGCAAAUAGCCGUUCUGCACCUGAGUUUCCCAGGACAGCAUCUCUCACGUGUGAUGGCUGUGACAGAGGUUUUUAGAGUGCUUUGGUCUCCUGGCUGGGCAGAGGUUCAUUGCUGAUGUAAUGAAAGAAGAUGUAGCCCAUGUAUAUGGGAGGGGAGAAUCUUAAAGCUUUUUAAGCUUUUCUAGAAGUCAUCUUCCUCAUUUAAACCAUACCCUGCUUUUCCCCUGAUGCAAAUAAGUUGUCCCAUUGUGGGAAUAUACGCCUGGAGUGUUAUGGGUAAAAUGCCAGGUUAAUUAUGGAGGAGGCAGGAAAGUAGCCUGUGCUGUUUUCAACAAUAUCAAAGGGAUGCUACCUAAUGAUUUUCCUAUUAGCUCUUUUCCCAGCCUGCCAGAGUCACUGCAGAAGUGCCAUUUACAAAGGCAGUUUGCAAGUGAUUACCCUGGAUUUUCACUGUAGUUCUGCUCCAGAGAGUGUGGGCUUUUGCUGCGUGCCCCAACCUAAUGAAUUGCCUGAUUUGGUUAGUGCUGCCGUCCCUUCUGACAAGAGGGAAGCAGUCCAUGCUUGGAGAAGUCCUAGAGCAAGUGAUGGAGGCGUGUGUGCUGCUACCCCGGCAGUCCCUGCUUAGUGUCUCAAGUCCUUUUCCAGCUGGAAAAUUCCAUGGCUCUCUUGCUUUGGGGCUCUGGGCUUCUCUUUCUCUUCAUUGCUUGGGGACCUGCUAUCACCUGAGCUGAGCUUCAUAACCCUUCUGUAACCCUUUCCUACCAUGGAAAAGCUGCAUUAAUGAUACAGGGGAAAAGCAUGCAAUGUGGGCUGGGAAAAUAGAGCUGAUUUCCAGUGUGGUAGAGGGCAGUUGUGUGUCUUGUGGGAGCUCCAAGGUCUGCUCCAGCCUGCUCGUGGUUUUACAAGGCGCUUGCAAACAGCGCUAGAGAAAACUCCGUGUCCUUUCUCGCUAGACAGCAAGCAUGCCCUUUUAGGCUAGGGACCUAUGGUUCAUCUCAUGCUGUGAAUGGCUCCUGAAGAGGGGAAAUCAAAGCUGUUGCUCCCUAUGUCAUGUCACACGUGCUCCCAGAUGAAAGCUGAAUGUGAGUACUGCUCAUUCAGCUGGUCAGACUGGAAAUGUAGGUUUCACGGGUGUUAGUUUGAGCUCAGUGUUGGCAAGAGGAGUUUGGGACUCCAGCCACCCUCACUUCCAGCUGUUUGUUUACACACACAUCCACCUCUGCUAAAUGCUAUCCUCUCCAGAGCUCGCCUUCCAGAAGUUGGAUGCCACUCCCUGAGGCUGUAGCUUGCAUCCAGGACAGCUUUUUCUGUUCAGUUACGCGCUCUCCUUGCUGGGAUGUGGCGAGGAAGUUUUCUAGUGCUGGGCCUGGAUCCUUUUGCUGGGUAUCAUGAAGAUUUAACCUGGCUGGUCCACAAAGGAGUCGGUGAAGUGAGAUCAACUUGUUUCCAAUGCAUGUGAUGCCUCCUCCCCUCUUAAUUGGAUUCUUGUGUCUCUUCUCUUUUCUCCUGGCCUAGUUUCCUACUGAGCCCCUGUCAGGGAGACCUAAUUGUGGCCUUAUCGGAUGCUUGCUGUGCUCUAAUGAGCUGUCUCCAUUUCCCACUCUGGCCCGUCUGCCAAACUGAGGAAGGUGCUUGUUGCCAGUCUGGAAACUGGCCUCUGCUUUCAGCCCUGCUUUCUGCACUCUGCCCUGCAGAAUAGCCAGACCUGUCACGCUGGCUGGGCCCUGUGGGUGCUGAGGUUAAGUUCAUCUGAAAGGUUUCCCAAGUGCUCUUUCACCCCUGAGUGCUGCCUUCUCUCUCGCACAUCAUGCCUGUGUGUGGGUGAGGGUUCAUGUUCGCACCCUGCAGGUGGGAAACCAGCAUGCUGAGGGACAGGGUGACUUAUCCAUGGCCAGAAUGGAAGCGGCAAAGCAAGAAGCCAGACUUCUAACCUUUCCUUCUGCACAGGGAGCUCUUAACUGUGAUCGCUCUCCUACUGCCGAGCUAGCAUCCUUCUGAGAUGUAGCUUUGUCUCUUCUGUUAGACUUGCUCUUUUCUAGGAAGCCCAGUGGAGGGAAGGAAUCCAUGCUGUAGGGGCUGUGCCCUGCCCCUCGCACUGCACUCUGCAGAGGAGAAAAGGGAAUCCAGAGCCUCUGUGACCCCAGGCUGUGAUCUCUCUGAGGUACCCCCAGCCUGAGCUCAGGUGAUUGUGCCCUGGAUAAGCUGACAAAUUUUGUGCUGUGAAAUCCUUGGAUCAAAAGUUCCAUCUGCUCUGGGCUCCAGGGGCCCUCUGCCAUCAGGCAGAUGGUUUCAUUCUAGCUCUGCUUUUGCAACAGAAAGCUAAAGCUGGAAGGGAAAUUUACCUUGGUCCCAGCCUGGUGCUCUAUUGACUUCAUGCUCAAGGAGUGGGACCAGCAGUACCAUCUUCUUGCACUACUGUUCAGACCUGGUGUGCCAGGUCUUGACACCAAGUGAUUCCUUAUUAUCCCUUGGGUUUGCUGAGUGACGCUGGACAGUCCCCUCUGGGCAUUUCUUAAGGAGCAUAGUCCCUCCUUUCCUCUAAGGAUGUGCAGAGCAGGUAGAGUGAACUUUGUGGAUGUUAUAGUUGCCUUACAGAACUUAGAGCCCUGACAGUGGGUUGUCAUUACAUCUGGACAUCUCUGGAGGGCUGCUCUAGUUGACCCUGAGGCAGGGCAGAGAGCUGCACUAGCUGCCCUUCCUGCCUCCCUUGAGCCCUACCUGCAGGCAUCCUGAAUUUGUUCCUAAUAGGCAAUGUCUUAUACGGUCCAUCAGCUGCUGCUUCCCAUCCAGCUGGACUCUGUGGGCCCUGUGAGGUGGGUGCCUGUUUCUGAUGGAGGAUUGCUCUUACAAGGCUAGAAAUGCCACAUGCACACUUUAACCUGAUGCUUGAGCUGUUGGUUGUCUGGAGGAAUCCUCUUUGUCUGUAAAGCUAGCGUCCUCUAAUAAUUGGGGAGAGCCUGGCUGGAGGUUUCUGUGGUUUCCUGGUGGUUGCUAAGGAAAGGAAUCUCUUUGCCUCUAGGUCUUGACGACUUUCUUUUUGCCCUAUCCCAGGCACCGGAGCGCAGUGGUACGUAAUGCUUGUCGUUUCCCAGCCCGCUACAAUGGUCAGGGUAUAAUUUGUGACUCUCAUCACGGCUGGGCUGGGCGCCGGCCGCUCUUUUCUAAGGCCUCUUUGAAGAGUGAGACCAAAGAGCCUUCAUACAGGAGUUUUGCUCGUUUGCCGUGCUCCCCGCCCCCUCGCUUGCUGUUUCCUUUAGAGUUCUGAGUCAUUUUAAUGAUUUAUUUCAUGCACUUUACAUAGCAAGAAGCUGUAGCAACAGCUGUGUGUCCAUGAAUCCUUACCAGGCAGCUCUCAGUAUGUUUUGGUCUGUCUAUAUAUUGUCCCAGGCACAGUUAAAUAAAUCUCUCUGCUGGAGGAAAGGACUUUACAGUUUAGUGGUGAGUAUUAGGAGAAUGGGACUUAAUAAACUGCUAGAUUAACAGCACCUCCAUCACAGAGCUCUGUUCCCACUGGGACAGCUGGGGCAGGUCUCUUUGCUUUCGGCAGGGAUUGCAUCUCCGUAUGCACGUACGCAGCACUCAGCGAUACCGCUAUAUUUAUGGAAUGAAAUUUGGACCCAAACCUGCAGACAGGGAGUGGUCAAAACGCUCCUAGGCCAAAUGAUGCUCUUGUCACAUCACUGUCCAUCUGGAUUUAGGCUGUUGAAUGUGAUGGGCUUGUUUCCACGGGUGCAAUUCAGGAUCUAGGCGAUAGAUGAGUUGCCUGAGGCUGCAUGCUCUUGCAGUGAGUUCAGCUGGGUUCUGCACAGGCUUGUAGCCGCACACAGCGCUGGGCAGGAUUCGGUCCGUCAGAACAUCACAGGAUUGGGUGCAAGUUUACUUUGCAUAAGGGAUCAAAGCUUAAAAUAUCAGCUGGCCUUUCUCUUGCUCUUGACUUUUCUAAAACAUCUGAACAGUUUCUUCUUUAACUCUGUUAAAAUCAAUCAAUCUGACAUUUAAAUUGUAAGUGAAUUUGAUAAAUAAAGACAGGUUACAAAAUGCCA